rnacentral:rRNA from 1 species
AACAGGAUUAGAUACCCUGGUAGUCCACGCCCUAGACGAUGAUAACUCGUUGUCGGAGGCUUCGACCCCUUCGGUGACUAAGCUAACGCUUUAAGUAAUCCGCCUGGGUAGUACGGCCGCAAGGUUAAAACUCCAAAGGAAUUAGACGGGGACCCACACAAGCGGUGGAGCAUCUGGUUUAAUUCGACAAUAAGCGAAAAACCUCACCAAGAUUUGACAUCCCGAGAAGAUUGCCGAAAGGUGAUUGUGCCGUAAGGAACUCGGUGACAGGUGCUGCAUGGUUGUCGUCAGCUCGUGCCUUGAAGGUGUUCGGUUAAGUCCGUAAACGAGCGCAACCCAUGUCUUAAGUUGGUAUUUUGUCUUAAGGAGANCUGCCGGGCUUCAAGUCGGAGGAAGGUAUGGAUGACGUCAAAUCAGCAUGGCCCUUAUGUCUUGGGCGACACAGGUGCUACAAUGGCCGGUACAGUAGGCAGCGACGGGGCAACCCAGAGCCAAUCCUUAAAACCGGUCCAAGUUCGGAUUGAGGGCUGAAAUUCGCCCUCAUGAAGCUGGAAUCGCUAGUAACCGUGAAUCAGCAUGUCACGGUGAAUAUGUUCCUGGGUCUUGUACUCACCGCCCGUCAAGUCAUGAAAGAUGGGNGCGCCCGAAGUCCCAA